rnacentral:pre_miRNA from 1 species
ACGGGAAUCUCCUGGAGAUCAUGUUAAAAUGCACAUUCUGACUCUGUAAGUCUGAGCUAUGGCCAGAGAUUCUGCAUUUCUAAUAAGCUUAUGGUCAUGUUGCU